rnacentral:lncRNA from 1 species
AGGAUUGCUUUGGCAAGUAUGGGUCUUUUUGGUUCCAUAUAAAUUUUUGGAUAUUUCUUUGGGUUCUGCAAAAAAUGUCACAGGUAAUUUGACAGGGAUGGCAUUAAAUCUGCAGACUGUUUUGGGUAGUAUGACCAUCUUAAUAAUAUUAAUUCUUCCAAUCCAGGAGCAUGGGAUAUCUUUUCAUUUCUUUGACUCCUCUUUAAUUUCCUUGAUUAAUAUUUUAUAAUUCUCAGCACAUAAGUAUUUCACCUCCUUAGUCAGGUUUGUUCCUAGGUAUUUAUUUUUUUGGGGUGCGAUUUUAUUUAUUUAUUUAUUUUUUUAUCCAAGUUUUUCUGCCAUCAGCUGCCAUCUCUUCAACCCUCUUUCCUAGGUUACAAGAAAACUGUGUUGUUUUCAAAAUGCUUUUAGUUUUUUGAUGAGGCUUUUUUCAUCCAGAGAGAUGACCCAAUCUGGUUUGGCCAUUGUGCCCACUUUUGAAAGGGCCAUUCCCACUUCUACUGCCUUUGUGUUUUCAUCCAAGUCUAUGCUCUUUACCAGGUACCAUCUUUCUCCUGGAUGCUGAAUGAUGGUCAUUGCUGCUUCUUACACCUUCUUCAUGUGAGGUGGAGAGUGUUUCUAACCUAUUUUAGCCAAUCCACACAUUGAACAUACUUUAAUUUCACAAAAGAACCCAUUUCCAUCAUUUUUCAUGCUAAUAAACAAGGUACUUGACUUGACUAGAAAAUUAAGAGUCUUUAUAUAUAUAUUUUUUCUUUUUUUCCUUUUUUUUUUUUUUUUUUUUUUUGUGUGUGUGUGUGUGUGUUUGUUUUGUCUUUUUAGGGCUGAACCCAUAGCACAUGGAUGUUCCCAGGCUAGGGGUCAAAUCGGAGCUACAGCUGGUGACCUACAUCACAGCCACAGCAAUGCCAGAUCCAAGCUGCGUCUGUGACCUACACUGCAGCUUAUGGCAACGCUGAAUCCUUAACCCACUAAUCAAGGCCAGGGAUCAAACACACAACAUCAUGGUUCCUAUUCAGAUUCAUUUUCAUUGCUCCAUGACAGGAACUCCUUUUUUUUUUUUUUUCAUUUUUUUAUGGCUGCACUAUAUGAAAGUUCCUGGGCCAAGGAUUGAAUCUGAACUGCAGUUGUGACCUAUGCCCCAACACUGGAUCCUUUAACUCACUGUGCCAGCCUAGGGAGUGAACCUGUGCCCCUGUGCCUCCACAGAUACCUGACCUGCUGUAGUCAGAUUCUUUUUUUUUUUUCCUUUUCUUUUAAGGGCUGCAGGUGUGGCAUAUGGAAGUUCCCAGGCUAGGGGUCGAAUUGGAGCUACAGCUGCUGGCCUACACCACAGCCAGAGCAACACCAGAUACAUCGUCUGCAAAUUAUACCACAGUUCACGGCAACGCUGGAUCCUUAACCCACUGAGCAAGGCCAGGGAUUGAAUCUGCAUCCUCAUAUAUACUAGUCGCGUUAGUUUCUGCUGAGCCAAAAUAGAAACUCCUGCAGUCAGGUUCUUAACCCCCUGCACCACAGCAGGAACUCCCCAAAGUCUUAGAUGUGAUGGAGGUCUUUAUAAUUGAAGGACUUGGGGUGGCUGACCCUGGAGUCAUGACUUGCCUUCUAGAGUCUCUGGGGGAUCAGGGAGAAGCUACCCUCUGCUGGAAUUUGUCUGAAUUUACAUCCUUGCUAGAUUUCUCCCUUCUUGUUCAGCUCCUCCAUUCUUAUCACCCUUUGUGAGGUGGGGUGGGGGUGGGGAUGGGACUUCCAUAAUAAAUUACCACGUAGGAACUCUUCUUUCAGGAUCUGCUUCUGCAGAAUCUAGUUUAAGACAACUGGCUAUGUAGGUUUGCAGUUCUCAGGUUUGAGAGCAAAUCAGAAUCACUAAAGGAGCUUGCGAAAAAUGCAGAUUUCAAAGUUAGAGACUAUGGUUGAGUAGGGUGGGGCCCCCGUAUCUGAAAUUAGGUAACCCUCUGGGGAGUUCCUUUUGUCUGAGGCCCUUGAACCUCAUUUUGAGAACCAGGGGUGCAGUCCCCCUGGAAGAGCUAGUUAUACCAAUAACAGGUUGAUUGGGCUUCUGUGACCCCACCUUCCCCUGACAUCUGCUGAUCCCAUAACUCCAAGUGGCUUGGCUUCAACCAGGAACAAAUUGCUGCUGCCUACGGUCCAACUGGCACUCCUCUGGUGUCAGGCUGAUCCUCCAGGCUGGGUCACUUACACUUGGUGGCUCUAGUCCAGUCAGGGUGCUUUUCAGAGACCUACAUGGUUGAAAGUCUGAGAACCAUGAGACCUCUUCUUGGCUCCCAUUCUUUUGUUCUUCUUUACCAGCAUCUGCCCAGUUUUCACGCUCUGGUUACUAAGUACUCCCC